AUUCCAGCUCCAAUAGCGUAUAUUAAAGUUGUUGCAGUUAAAAAGCUCGUAGUCGGAUGUCGGGCUCGGGGAGAUUGUCGGCCUUUGGUCGGAUAGUUUCUCCGGGCCUUUCUGCCUGGGAACCCUAUUCUACUUAACUGUAGGGUAGUGGGACGCAGGCCGUUUACUUUGAAAAAAUUAGAGUGUUCAAAGCAGGCCUACGCUUGAAUACAUUAGCAUGGAAUAAUGGAAUAGGACGUUGGUCUUAUUUGUUGGUUUAUGGGACCGAAGUAAUGAUUAACAGGGACAGUUGGGGCCGUUUAUAUUUCGUUGUCAGAGGUGAAAUUCUUGGAUUUACGAAAGAUAAACUUCUGCGAAAGCAUUCGGCAAGGAUGUUUUCAUCG
rnacentral:rRNA from 1 species